rnacentral:lncRNA from 1 species
UAGAAAUAGAGCCUCUAUUCCAAGCUCCAAAUGCAGCUUGAUCAAAGAGCCUAACUUGGUCAAGUUAUAGCUAGAAUUGCUAGCUAGAAUGAAAGAUUCUCAUUGCCUUGUUUUAUCUGGCACAGAAGCCUGCUAGAACAUUAUUUCAGGAGACAAGGGGAAAGUGCUUUUAUCUGUAGCCCUUUUGGCCAAAAAAAGGACUGGAUUGUAGCUGGCUUGAUGGUUAACUGCAGUUGUUAGCAGUCAAAGCAAUCUGACAAAAGAAAGUAAAAUAAGAGGUUUUCACUGGAUCGUUCUGAUGCAUGAAGCUAAGAAUCUUAAAAACUAUGGAGAGAAUGGGAAGUGCAUUUUCUCUGUUCCUAAUGCAACAUCAUUAACAGCUCCAGCUGACACUUUCUGAAAGGCCAAUGGACGCUUUCCAGACACCAUUCUACUCCUUUCCCAUUUCCUCUUGUUUACCGAGUGUUUUUUAAACCCUCCAGGCAAAGCUGUGCUUACAGAAAUGCUCUCCCAUCACACUUCUGGAGAUCGGCUCAGACAGCAGGGCUACCACCUCUCCUGCAAGACUGAAAACCAGAAAAAAUUCCUCAUAUUUUACCUUUAUUUUUAUACUGUUCUUUUGGUAAAUAGAGCAGUGUAACUCACAGGCACAGAACACAUGGUUUAUGCGCCACAAGGACAUUUGCCACAAGUUUAAAAUAAUUUUGAGACAGUGGUGGCUGUACUUUCAUCGAUGGUUUCAGUUUUUGUCAGAGCAGCUUCUUGCUUUUCCUCCUCUGAGUCACAACUUUGUGCCUGGCAGCAUGGGAUCCUCUGCAGCAUUUUGUCCUCCUGCAACUCAUCUUUGAUGUUGCUGUUAGUCUGUUAGUCUGCCUGUUCUGGGACUACACAGGAGGCUUGAUCUGCUGCUGCUGCUGGAGAGUGCUCUGCAGGGUGGUUCCUCUUGAACCACUGCCAAUCCUGCAGGAGGGACUCCAGCCAUUCUGUUGAAGCAUCUUGCCUAAGCUGUCAUUCUCCAAAGGGCACUCCUUUUCAACAUUGUAAGCCCACUUGGUUUCCCUGGUCAGUGUGGAUUUCCCUUCACAUAAUGGUUCAAAUUAAGUGUCUCCAUCCUUCGGUAAAUUGGGGAUGUGUGUGACUGCCUCCCAAAGUGGCAAGAAGUACAAAAGGGAAAAAUGAAAGAAUGUGGACUGGAGUCCCUGGAUGUUUUCCACCAUCCGGUCCUUAAUGCUCGCCACGAGUUCCUUGCUUCCCACGCUGGCUGCCAAGCACCAGACAAGAGUUAGGGGAUGGCUGGGUCAGCGAGGGCUGUGCUGCAGCCCCGUCUGCUAAAGGAAACGUUCCUCUACUCUAAGAAGACACUGAAAUAGUUGAGCUGACAGCAUCUGCUUCCUCUUAAACAGCUAUUUUACUCCUACAUUUGACAGAUGGACCAGUGACAGGGAGAUGAGUGCUGAAAGCCUCCGGCUAAUUUUACUGAUUUGGAAACAUAGCUGAGAAACACAUGUAUUUUUAUCCCUCCCUAUUUUCACAGAGAUUUUACUCCUUCCAUUCAGCAAAUGCCAGAGCUACAAAUCAGACUUAAAUUUAAUUUAGCAAGAAAUGGAGUUGAAGGUGGAGAUGUGAAGGUUUGGCUGAUCUAAAGCAACCGUUUGGCCAACCUAAACCACUUCACCCAGUUUCAUGUUUUUGCAGGCCAGGUGAAUAUUUCAAACAUAAUUAGCAAAUGUAUUUUCAGUGCAGAGACUGCUUCUGGAGCAGGAGGACCUACUUUUGAUUUUCAUGCCUGAACUAACCAGCUGGAUUGCCUACCCUACUUGGAAUGUGCUCCAAAUACAGAGGCUGCUC